rnacentral:snRNA from 1 species
GUUUUCACUUUGGCAGCACAUAUACUAAAAUUGGAACGAUACAGAGAAGAUUAGUAUGGCUCCUGCGCAAGGAUGACACACAAGUUUGUGAAGCAUUCCAUAUUUUU